rnacentral:lncRNA from 1 species
GCUGCAACAGAGCUGCUUCUAGCAUUCUGUUCAGUUGAAGUAUCCCAGCAGAGACAAAAUAAGGACUCAAAAAGGAAGUCAAGUGAGAUCAUCGUCCUCAGUAUUUCUUCAACACCUCUGCAAUGCUGCUCCGCUCGGGCCGUAGAAAGCCGUAUGAAAUGCCUCCCCAUAGAAGGCAGUCUGUGAAGAAGAAAUUUCUGCCUAAAAAUAAGAAAACAGCUCUUGGAAAGUCAGAGUUUAACCUGCGAAAAACAUUGAAAUGUUAUAUACUAACUGAAGAUUCAAAAACAGUGCAUUUUGAUAUAGAUGAAGAUGGUCAUCAUGAAAUAUCUACCAAGGAUUCGCAAUCCCAUGAAGAUAUUGCGUGGUUGAGCAUGUUCACAAGGAAUGAAGAGCAUAAUCCUCUUCUAGAUUCUAAAAAUUUGGUGAGCCUCACACAGAGAUCAAAACUUAAUGAAUUUGUCUUGUUGUGCAAGGGUAAGAAGCAUCUCUCUCUGAAGGUCUUAAAAGCAUCCUGUUCAGAGCCAGAUUGUCCUUCAGUGGAGAGGAGUGAUAUGAAAACUUGCGGCCAUGAAGAUCCUGACUUUAAACAGCUGAGAGAAGAUAAUAACUUUUUCAUCAUGCAUUACCAAGGAGAAUCGGUGCAGUUCCAGUGCUAUGAAGACAGAAGUUACUAUCUGUGUGUGCAUGAUGACUCACUUGAUAUUCGCAAGCUGAAAAACAAGAAGCCCAAUGAGGAGAAAAAUUUUUACUUCAGGGUGUCAUAUUUAGAGGAAAAGUAAUUUGUCUACCUUUCAGUGGCCUAAGUGCCCAUACAGCUCCUAAGAAGAUGACGAAGUUUGAGAUCAACUGAUUUCUGUUUGGGCUAAAUUUUUACAUUUUCACAAUUUCUAAGUCACCAACGUCUUUAUUUCUACACAUCAAUAGCAAAAGAGGAAGGCCAAGUAUGAAAAACAUACUAACUGAUCAGUCUUUGUGUCCUACCUACCAGUUAUGUUUUUAAGAAAACAAAAUAUUCUGGUGCGGGAAAAUAUACAGGGGAUAUUUCAAAGAUGGAAACAGUAAGGAAUAUAUCUGAACAUGAUCAUAAAAUAUGCCAUAAGUUCUGCAUGUGAUAAAUAUUUUUUGUUUUAAAAACUGUCUCUUAUAAACUCACCUGAAUGUGACUAGAAAACUUUCAGAAGUUGUUAAAUGCAUGUAUGCAAAUCCUGACUGACUGACUUGGAGAAAGAGUCAGACUCUAUCUGGGAAUAAGGGAAAAUUCUGGAAGCUAGAAGAUGUCUCUGCACCUGUAGUUCCAAGCCAAUCCAUGUAGUCCAUUAUGCAAUUCCAGCAUCUGUCCAGCGUGGCAGGUCUCUAAGAAAAUGUACACAGAGCGUCAGAUAUACAAAGUGCAGGCAGAGGGAGGGAGGCAGAUUGAACUGAUGGGCCAUGACAGAUGCCUGCAAACACAUCAGAAAAUUGCUCUGACAUAUUGGCUUCCACUUCUGAAUCAUAGAGGGAAAUACAAUCACAUGUUCAAUUGCAAAGCAGAGUGCAGAACAACAUCAGAAAAAACAAUAAUGUUCAAAAUUACUGAAUAAAAGAAACACUAAGUGUUUAUGUGGGGUACA